GGCGGGGCCGAGUCCAGGCAGGAAUCGGAGUGCCGUAGUACAAUCACAGCUCACUGCAGCCUCAAACUCCUGGGUUCCAGCGAUCCUCCCGCCUCAGCCUCCCCAGUAGCUGGGGCUACAGCCCAGUAAAGGCGCCAUUCCCCAUUUUACAGCUGGGGAAACUGAGUUACAGAGCUUGUCUACACUGAGUCAACAGGAGCAAAUGCUAGAUCAGGUCUAGCUGGAGUACAGUGAUGCAGUCAUAGCCCACUGCAGCCUCAAAAUUCCUGGGCUCAAGCAAUCCACCCACAUCAGCUUCCCAAGUAGUUGGGACUACAGGCCCACACUACUAUACCCAGGAUCUCUCUCUCUCUGCCACCCAGGCCAGAGCGCAGUUGAUGCAGGUCAGGGGAGCCCCCCAGUGGAGCAUAGUGUGUCCAGAACUGGUGGGUUGUUGGUCUCACUGACUUCAAGAAUGAAGCCACGGACCCUCGGGGUGAGCGUCACAGUUCUUAAAGGCGGUGCGUCCGGAGUUUUUUCCUUCUGAUGCUCGGAUGUGUUCAGAGUUUCUUCCUUCUGGUGGGUUGCUGGUCUCACUGGCUUCAGGAGUGAAGCUGCAGACCUUCAAGGCUGGAGUGCAAUGGUGCCAUCUCAGCUCGCUGCAACCUCUGCCUUCUGGAUUAAAGCAAUUCUCCUGCCUCAGCCU
rnacentral:lncRNA from 1 species